rnacentral:rRNA from 1 species
CGGGACGGGUGAGUAACGCGUGGGUAACCUGCCUCAUACAGGGGGAUAACAGUUAGAAAUGGCUGCUAAUACCGCAUAAGACCACAGUACUGCAUGGUACAGUGGUAAAAACUCCGGUGGUAUGAGAUGGACCCGCGUCUGAUUAGGUAGUUGGUGAGGUAACGGCUCACCAAGCCGACGAUCAGUAGCCGACCUGAGAGGGUGACCGGCCACAUUGGGACUGAGACACGGCCCAG